AUAUGUGAUCGUCUCUCGCAUAUCAAUAAGCGGAGGAAAAGAAACUAACAAGGAUUCCCCUAGUAACGGCGAGUGAAGCGGGAAGAGCUCAAAUUUGAAAUCUUAAAGGGUUUCCCUUUACGAAUUGUAGUUUAAAGAAGUGUUUUCUGUUGAGGUUUUGGUAAAAGUUCUUUGGAAUAGGACAUCAUAGAGGGUGAGAAUCCCGUAUUUGACCUUUACUUUCCAACUUUGUGAUACACUUUCAAAGAGUCGGAUUGUUUGGGAAUGCAGUCCAAAAUGGGUGGUAAAUUUCAUCUAAAGCUAAAUAUUGGCGAGAGACCGAUAGCGAACAAGUACCGUGAGGGAAAGAUGAAAAGAACUUUGAAAAGAGAGUUAAACAGUACGUGAAAUUGUCAAAAGGGAAGCGUUUGACACCAGUGUUGUUUUUCUGAAAAUCAAUUAAAGAACUGUUUAUGCUAAGUUGUUUAGACUUUAUCAGCUAACUGUUUAGUUUUGAGCUUUUCUUUAAUGCACUUUUCAGUUAACAAGUCAACAUCAAUUUCUUUUGCUGUAAAAAAGCUUGAGGAAGGUGGCUUGAGAUUCGUCUUAAGUGUUUAUAGCCUCUUGCCUAUGCAGUCGGAGAGAUUGAGGUCUGCAGCGUAGAUCCUUCGGGGCUAAAUGCAUUUGUGCUAAGUUAUAGCAUUUUAUAGACAACUUGUUGACUAUGAUUUGUCUUGUAGCUUACUCGCUUAUGUUAUUUUACCUACGCUUAGGAUGUUGACACACGCGCGUGCUCG
rnacentral:rRNA from 1 species